GCAUUCAAAUUUUAACAAUAUGCUUGAUUUCUAAAGGUCUCCUUUUUUUUGAAACACCUUUAGUAAUCAAGCAUUUUGUUAAAAUUUGAAUGC